rnacentral:tRNA from 1 species
GCGCCCGUAGCUCAACGGAUAGAGCAUCUGACUACGGAUCAGAAGGUUGGGGGUUCGAUUCCCUUCGGGCGCG